ACUACGUGAGGCAGCAGUAGGGAAUCUUUCACAAUGGGCGAAAGCCUGAUGGAGCAACGCCGCGUGCAGGAUGAAGGCCCUCGGGUUGUAAACUGCUUUUAUAAGCGAGAAAUAUGAUGGUAACUUAUGAAUAAGGAUCGGCUAACAACGUGCCAGCAGCCGCGGUCAUACGUAGGAUCCGAGCAUUAUCCGGAGUGACUGGGUGUAAAGAGUUGUGUAGGGGGGAUAAAGAGUAGCUAGUGAAAUCUGGUGGCUCAACAAUUCAGACUAUUAGCUAAACUGUUAAGCUCGAGACCGUUAGGGGUAAGUGGAAUGUAUGGUGUAGGAGUGAAAUGCGUAGAUAUUAGACAGAACACCGAUAGCGUAGGCAGGUUGCUGGGACGGUUCUGACGCUAAGGCACGAAAGCGUAGGGAGCAAACGGGAUUAGAUACCCUUGUAGUC
rnacentral:rRNA from 1 species